GACGAACGCUGGCGGCGUGCUUAACACAUGCAAGUCGAGCGGUAAGGCCCUUCGGGUACACGAGCGGCGAACGGGUGAGUAACACGUGGGUGACCUGCCUCUAGCUCUGGGAUAAGACCUGGGAAACUGGGUCUAAUACCGGAUAUGACUCCACGGCGCAUGUUGUGGGGUGGAAAGCCUUGUGUGGCUAGAGAUGGGCCCGCGGCCUAUCAGCUUGUUGGUGGGGUGAUGGCCUACCAAGGCGACGAC
rnacentral:rRNA from 1 species